CCUACGGGUGGCUGCAGUGGGGAAUAUUGCACAAUGGGGGAAACCCUGAUGCAGCGACGCCGCGUGAGCGAUGAAUUAUUUCGGUAUGUAAAGCUCUAUCAGCAUGGGAGAAAAGUACAGUACCUGUCUUAGAAUCCCCGGCUAACUACAUGCCAGCAGCCGCGGUAAUACGUAGGGUGCAGGCGUUAUCCGGAUUUACUGGGUGUAAAGGGAGCGUAGACGGUUCUGCAAGCCAGAUGUGAAAGCCCGGGGCUCAACCACGGGACUGCAUUUGAAACUGUAAGCCUAGAGUUGAGUAGAGGUAGGCGGAAUUCAUAGUGUAGCGGUGAAAUGCGUAGAUAGGAGGAGGAACACCAGUGGCGAAGGCGGCCUGCUGGACGAUGACUGACGUUGAUGCUCGAAAGCGUGGGGAGCAAACAGGAUUAGAUACCCGAGUAGUC
rnacentral:rRNA from 1 species